rnacentral:tRNA from 1 species
UGCUUUCAGUUCAGUGGUAGAAUGCUCGCCUGCCACGCGGGCGCCCGCGGUUCGAUUCCCGCCGAUGCAU